rnacentral:rRNA from 1 species
UACGUAGGGGGCGAGCGUUGUCCGGAAUUAUUGGGCGUAAAGAGCUCGUAGGCGGUUUGUCACGUCGGAUGUGAAACCCCGGGGCUUAACUCCGGGCCUGCAUUCGAUACGGGCUGACUAGAGUUCGGCAGGGGAGACUGGAAUUCCUGGUGUAGCGGUGAAAUGCGCAGAUAUCAGGAGGAACACCGGUGGCGAAGGCGGGUCUCUGGGCCGAUACUGACGCUGAGGAGCGAAAGCGUGGGGAGCGAACAGG